rnacentral:lncRNA from 1 species
GGACUUGAUGGUGGACGUAGAGCGCUCCAAUGCUGCUGCUGCAGCCCUGGACAAGAAGCAGAGGAACUUCGACAAGAUCCUGGCCGAGUGGAAGCAGAAGUAUGAGGAGUCGCAGUCGGAGCUGGAGUCCUCGCAGAAGGAGGCUCGCUCCCUCAGCACAGAGCUCUUCAAACUCAAGAACGCCUAUGAGGAGUCCCUGGAACAUCUGGAGACCUUCAAGCGGGAGAACAAAAACCUGCAGGAGGAGAUCUCCGACUUGACUGAGCAGUUGGGUUCCAGCGGAAAGACUAUCCAUGAGCUGGAGAAGGUCCGAAAGCAGCUGGAGGCCGAGAAGAUGGAGCUGCAGUCAGCCCUGGAGGAGGCCGAGGCCUCCCUGGAGCACGAGGAGGGCAAGAUCCUCCGGGCCCAGCUGGAGUUCAACCAGAUCAAGGCAGAGAUCGAGCGGAAGCUGGCAGAGAAGGACGAGGAGAUGGAACAGGCCAAGCGCAACCACCUGCGGGUGGUGGACUCGCUGCAGACCUCCCUGGACGCAGAGACACGCAGCCGCAACGAGGCCCUGAGGGUGAAGAAGAAGAUGGAAGGAGACCUCAAUGAGAUGGAGAUCCAGCUCAGCCACGCCAACCGCAUGGCCGCCGAGGCCCAGAAGCAAGUCAAGAGCCUCCAGAGCUUGUUGAAGGACACCCAGAUUCAGCUGGACGAUGCAGUCCGUGCCAACGACGACCUGAAGGAGAACAUCGCCAUCGUGGAGCGGCGCAACAACCUGCUGCAGGCUGAGCUGGAGGAGUUGCGUGCCGUGGUGGAGCAGACAGAGCGGUCCCGGAAGCUGGCGGAGCAGGAGCUGAUUGAGACUAGUGAGCGGGUGCAGCUGCUGCAUUCCCAGAACACCAGCCUCAUCAACCAGAAGAAGAAGAUGGAUGCUGACCUGUCCCAGCUCCAGACUGAAGUGGAGGAGGCAGUGCAGGAGUGCAGGAAUGCUGAGGAGAAGGCCAAGAAGGCCAUCACGGAUGCCGCCAUGAUGGCAGAGGAGCUGAAGAAGGAGCAGGACACCAGCGCCCACCUGGAGCGCAUGAAGAAGAACAUGGAACAGACCAUUAAGGACCUGCAGCACCGGCUGGACGAAGCCGAGCAGAUCGCCCUCAAGGGCGGCAAGAAGCAGCUGCAGAAGCUGGAAGCGCGGGUGCGGGAGCUGGAGAAUGAGCUGGAGGCCGAGCAGAAGCGCAACGCAGAGUCGGUGAAGGGCAUGAGGAAGAGCGAGCGGCGCAUCAAGGAGCUCACCUACCAGACGGAGGAGGACAGGAAAAACCUGCUGCGGCUGCAGGACCUGGUAGACAAGCUGCAGCUAAAGGUCAAGGCCUACAAGCGCCAGGCCGAGGAGGCGGUGACAAGCCAACACCAACCUGUCCAAGUUCCGCAAGGUGCAGCACGAGCUGGAUGAGGCAGAGGAGCGGGCGGACAUCGCCGAGUCCCAGGUCAACAAGCUGCGGGCCAAGAGCCGUGACAUUGGCACGAAGGGCUUGAAUGAGGAGUAGCUUUGCCACAUCUUGAUCUGCUCAGCCCUGGAGGUGCCAGCAAAGCCCCAUGCUGGAGCCUGUGUAACAGCUCCUUGGGAGGAAGCAGAAUAAAGCAAUUUUCCUUGAAGCCG